GACGACCGCUGGCGGCGUGCCUAAUACAUGCAAGUCGAACAGUGGCGAACGGGUGAGUAACACGUGAGUAACCUGCCCUCCACUUUGGGAUAACUCCGAGAAAUCGGGGCUAAUACUGGAUAGUGGGGGAUGGGCUCGCGGCCUAUCUGUUUGUUGGGGAGGUAGUGGUGACCAAGGCGUGACGGGUAGCCGGCCGGAGAGGGCGACCGGCCCCACUGGGACUGAGCCACCGCCCAGACUCCUACGGGAGGCAGCAGUGGGGAAUAUUGCCCAAUGGGCUAAAUCCUUAUGUAGCGACGCCGCGUUGGGGAUGACGGCCUUCGUGUUGUAACCCUCUUUCAUCAAGGAAGCGGUACUUGCAGAAGAAGCGCCGGCUAAAUACGUGCCAGCAGCCGCGGUAAUUC
rnacentral:rRNA from 1 species